rnacentral:tRNA from 1 species
GGGAGGUAGCUCAGGGGUACAGCAUGUAGUUAGCAUGCACAAGGCCCUGGGUUCCAUUCCCAGCACCCA